GGGCAACGGUAGGUCAGUAUGCUCCGAAUGCUAUGGGCUACACGCGCAAUACAAAGGACAGGACAAUGGGCUGCUGCUCCGAAAGGAAUGAUAGCUAUCCCGAAACCUGUUCGUAGUUCGGAUUGAGGGCCGUAACUCGCCCUCAUGAAGCUGGAUUAGGUAGUAAUCGCGUCUCAAAAAGGCGCGGUGAAUAUGCCCCUGCUCCUUGCACACACCGCCCGUCAAA
rnacentral:rRNA from 1 species